rnacentral:rRNA from 1 species
GAUGAACGCCGGCGGCGUGCCUAAUACAUGCAAGUCGAGCGAACGGACGAGAAGCUUGCUUCUCUGAUGUUAGCGGCGGACGGGUGAGUAACACGUGGAUAACCUACCUAUAAGACUGGGAUAACUUCGGGAAACCGUAGCUAAUACCGGAUAAUAUUUUGAACCGCAUGGUUCAAAAGUGAAAGACGGUCUUGCUGUCACUUAUAGAUGGAUCCGCGCUGCAUUAGCUAGUUGGUAAGGUAACGGCUUACCAAGGCAACGAUGCAUAGCCGACCUGAGAGGGUGAUCGGCCACACUGGGACUGAGACACGGUCCAGACUCCUACGGGAGGCAGCAGUAGGGAAUCUUCCGCAAUGGGCGAAAGCCUGACGGAGCAACGCCGCGUGAGUGAUGAAGGUCUUCGGAUCGUAAAACUCUGUUAUUAGGGAAGAACAUAUGUGUAAGUAACUGUGCACAUCUUGACGGUACCUAAUCAGAAAGCCACGGCUAACUACGUG